rnacentral:misc_RNA from 1 species
AUUUCCCCAAUGGGUUCUCCGGAUUUCUGGAGACUUGUAGGGGUUGUGGGAUUUUUGAUGUGUCGUCUCCGGACGGGCGGUGCAGGGUAGUCGAGUUAGACUUGGUGGAAUUCCGUCGAUAGGAGUUCCGUCGAGUCUGGUCGGCUGUGUGUUGGACGGUGCAGGGUAGGCUGCUUGGAGAUGGUCGGUUCGAGGAUCGAUUCGAGGGCCGGCCUGUCGAUGGUGUGUGAUGUAUGCGGUCUAGGGUAGGCUGGUUUGUCUUGGUUCAAUUUGAUGUCGGCUCCCGUGCAGGCCAGAGUGAGGGGGGUCCAGGGUAGGUACAGGGUAGGCAGCUUAGAUUUGGUUGAUCUGGAGGUCGAUUCUCCGGCUGGCGGAUCUGACACUGUCGAAACGAGAUGCGAGCGGUGUAGGGUAGGCUAGUUUCGUCCUCGCCAGGUUGCGAUUUGGACGAGAUGUGUGGUUUAGGGUAGGCUCUAGGGUAAGUAGAAUUCGAGUUUCGUCGCCGACAGUUUUCUGUGGGUGUAUGGUAGGUACAGGGUAGGCAAAUCUCUCUCCGGCCAGUACUUGUCUGGUGGUCGUGAGUCGAUUUUUUUGUUUU